AACGAACGCUGGCGGCAUGCCUAACACAUGCAAGUCGAGCGAGACCUUCGGGUCUAGUGGCGCACGGGUGCGUAACGCGUGGGAACCUGCCCUUAGGUUCGGAAUAACUCCCCGAAAGGGGUGCUAAUACCGGAUAAUGUCUUCGGACCAAAGAUUUAUCGCCUUUGGAUGGGCCCGCGUUGGAUUAGCUAGUUGGUAGGGUAAAAGCCUACCAAGGCGACGAUCCAUAGCUGGUCUGAGAGGAUGAUCAGCCACACUGGGACUGAGACACGGCCCAGACUCCUACGGGAGGCAGCAGUGGGGAAUAUUGAACAAUGGGCGAAAGCCUGAUCCAGCAAUGCCGCGUGAGUGAUGAAGGCCUUAGGGUUGUAAAGCUCUUUUACCCGGGAUGAUAAUGACAGUACCGGGAGAAUAAGCUCCGGCUAACUCCGUG
rnacentral:rRNA from 1 species